UACAGAGGUCCCAAGCGUUGUUCGGAUUCAUUGGGCGUAAAGGGUGCGUAGGUGGCGCUGUAAGUCGGGUGUGAAAUUUCGGAGCUUAACUCCGAAACUGCAUUCGAUACUGCGGUGCUUGAGGACUGGAGAGGAGACUGGAAUUCAUGGUGGAGCGGUGAAAUGCGUAGAUAUCAUUUGGAACGCCAAUGGUGAAAACAGCUCGCUGGGGGUUUGCUGACGCUGAGACGACGAAAGCCAGGGGAGCAAAGCGGG
rnacentral:rRNA from 1 species